UCUUACACAUGUUUUAAUUAGCGAAAGUUUGACCGUUAAAGUACGACUGCUUGUUACAUGAUUGAUAACAGUCUACUAGAGAAAGAAUAUUUAGACAUCAGACCUGUAAAAAAAUAGUGGUAUUACGCCUGAGACAAAAUAUUUUGUUCAAAUCAGUUGUUUCCCCUUCGGUACUGUAUGUUUCCGGUUUCGGAUUUUAUCAGGGAAGCAUGUGAAGUUUACUUUUGUUUAACUUCCUUUUGUUGAACGAUGAAGGGAUCUGAGACUUGUAAUACUGUUUACUGAUUUGAUAAUAUUCCUUGUUCCUUUGAUGGUUCAUUCCACUACAGCUGGUUCAUAUACCCUACAACAGCCAGGAAAUUGGUCUGUUUACUUUAAGAUCUGAAGAAAAUGUUACAUAUUUUGGAUGUGCUUUGAGGAAUCAGGAAGGCAAGUGUUUCCUCUUGUUUAUGAAAGCAACUCAGUUGGUUAAGGGGCAGACAACUUGUGAGCAUGGUACAUCACUACCUGUAUUGGUAUUCUAUUUUGACAAUGCUGCUAGCUACAAUAGAAAUAACAUCUUGCUGUGGUAUGGUCUGUGGAGAGUUUUACUAGGAUAUCACAGAUGGAUUGAUAUUCAGCAAUGAUCACAGACCAUGCAAAGUUUGAAUCUGACUUGCACUUUUGAAUUUAGAAGAAUCUGUGGAGGAGGGUGAAUGCUGAGACCUUUAAUAAUACAUGAUAUUGCUGACACAGUGUGUCAGUCAUCAAAGAAAGGUCAUAACAUUGCACAGUUGGUCAACAAUGAUUUAAAUCCUGUCACAUUCUGCCAGUGGAGAAAUAUCUUAUCACAAUAUUUUAAACUUUUGAAGAAGAUAACCAAGUAUUACCAUUUUAUCAUGUCUGCAGAAACACCUGGAUUGUUAGUGUUAAAAGUGACCGUCCAGUUGAGACAGUUAACUUACUAAAAUCUACUCCCCCUUGCCAAACGAAUAUUAUUGACAUGGAAUGACACAAGCCUGACAAUGGUACCUGUAUGAACUCCUAAGAGAGUAGUAUUUGUCUGAAAAGUCAAAGGAUUCUGUUUGUCCCAGACCACUUGAACUGAAAACUGAAAUUGUGAUUGACGAGGAUUUUUCCCAGAACUGAAAAAAGGAAGUGAAUAUAAAAGAUAGAAAUUGUUGUUGAAUUUAAACGUUUUAAUGCACAACACUUCAGCAUGUUUUGCUGUUCAUAUAGAUGUGUUUAGCUGUUAAGGUUAAACAUCAAGUAAAGGUUGUAGUUUCAGUUACCUACAUUAAAGUAUUGGCUGGAAAUAAAUAUUUACUUUUCACCAGAGCUUGUAGCAGUGUAACCUUUAUCAUAAGUUAAGCUAUUAUGUUAAGUAUUAAAGUAUUUUUAGAAAAAAAGAAUUUAGUAUGUAUGUUGCCAUGGUAACAUAAUUCAAAUUAUAUUUCAUUGAAAUUAUGGAUUUGUAUUUCAAUAAGGGAUCUACAGUAUAUAAUGUAAUGGUAAAAGAAUGUUCACUUUCUUCAGUAUUGUCAGUUAUAACUAGCCAGUGAAAAAAAAAACAGAUUAUGAGGAAAGGGAUGACAGAAAUGUUUAUUCUUACGAUAACUACUUUUGUUACUUUUUUUUGUUUUAUUAUUUUAAAGAUUUUAUGUGAAAUUUUCAGAUUUCUUUCCUGAAUACUUAUACUUUCAAAUAUUUUACUUAUUAGAACUAUUUUUUUAAAAUAAGCUUUUGUUUUUAAGUAUUAUUGUAGGAAAAGGGAAUUUAAAACAUAUGUCGCCAUGGUAACACAAUUUUGUUAGAAAAUAUGGAAAGUUUUUAAUUAGGUGUACUUUCUAGUAUUCCACUUUAAAGUAAGCAUAAACAAUAAAAAAAAAAUCAAUAGUAAUACAUGUUUCAUUUAUUUCAAAAUAGUCAUUUAUUACCAGCAGGUAAAAGGCAAGUUAUGAACUUCAAGAAACAAUGACGAAAUGUCUUAUUCUUAUAGUUAUUACUGAUGUUACAAACGCUGUCAUAAAACAAAACAUUUUAAUUUUUUAACAUGGAAUUUUGAGAUAUUUUUGAAUACAUACCAC